GCGAUAAAAACAAGACUGUUGCUGGCCUCUUUCAAUGAGAGGCAUGUGCACGUCUUGUCCUUACUCUCUACAUACUACACCUGUGCACCCAUUGUAGGUCGCUUGCAAGAGCGUAUCUAUGUUUCUGUACAUCCUUUUUUAUUACAAGGCCAGAAUGUGAUCUAGAUAGGUCGACCUGAUUUCGGUCGGGAAGACUGUCUAAUGAAACAUGUAUACUAUA
rnacentral:misc_RNA from 1 species